UUAUCGAAGCCUUUUGGCUAAGAUCAAGUGUCGUAUUUCAAUUUAAUAUCUGAUAUGUGAUUCAAUGAGUCAUUCAUUAUUAAAUUACUUUUUUUGUGUGAGAGAAACCAUCACAAUAACUUGCUAUUGGAUUUCUUGAGUAUCGUCUAUACAUUGUUCUAUUGCAUUGGCUGACGCAUCUAAA
rnacentral:snRNA from 2 species